CGCUAAUAAGAUGUACUUUAUUAUUUCCAGGUGAACGCGUUGCUCGGAUCAUUAGCGAUGAAUGGUCUCAACGUUGAAGUUAGAAUUAAAAAACUCGACAUUCUGAGUACCAAUAUUAUUCCUCCCAGUUCUAUUUUACCAGGCACAGAAAAUGUUGUAGAACCUUCAGAUGCUAUAAAGACAUUCGACAACUGGCUAGUAGCGCAAAAUUCG
rnacentral:sRNA from 1 species